rnacentral:rRNA from 1 species
GUGAUAAUGCUGGCAUGAGUAACGAUAAAACAAGUGGGAAACUUGUUCGCCGUAAGACUAAGGAUUCCUGGGUAAAGCUAAUCUUCCCAGGGUUAGUCGGUCCCUAAGGCGAGGCCGAAAGGCGUAGUCGAUGGAAAACGGGUUAAUAUUCCCGUACCAGCAAAUGUGUGCGAUGGAGGGACGCAGUAGGAUAGCUCAGCCGGCUGUUGGAUAUGCCGGUGUAAGCACGUAGGCUUGAGUCAUAGGCAAAUCCGUGACUCUUUAAGGCCGAGAUGCGAUGCCGUAACUUUACGUUUGAAGUGAGUGAUUCCAGACUGCCUAGAAAAUCUUCUAAGUUUAGCAUUUGUUGACCGUACCGCAAACCAACACAGGUAGUCGGGUCGAGUAGACCAAGGCGCUUGAGAGAACUCUGGUUAAGGAACUCGGCAAAAUGAUCCCGUAAGUUAGCGAGAAGGGAUGCUCCAGACGGUGAAGUUAUUUACUCUCCGAGCUGUUUGGAGCCGCAGAGAAUCGGGGGGGGCGACUGUUUACUAAAAACAUAGGUCUCUGCUAAGUCGUAAGACGAUGUAUAGGGUCUGACGCCUGCCCGGUGCUGGAAGGUUAAAAGGAGGUGUUAGACUUCGGUCGAAGCUCCGAAUUGAAGCCCCAGUAAACGGCGGCCGUAACUAUAACGGUCCUAAGGUAGCGAAAUUCCUUGUCGGGUAAGUUCCGACCUGCACGAAUGGCGUAACGAGGGCCACACUGUCUCCACCCGAGACUCAGUGAAAUUGAAAUUGCUGUUAAGAUGCAGUAUACCCGCGGCCAGACGGAAAGACCCCGUGCACCUUUACUACAGCUUUGCAUUGAACUCUGAUCCUACCUGUGUAGGAUAGGUGGGAGACUUUGAAACUUUAACGCUAGUUAGAGUGGAGUCAUCCUUGAAAUACCACCCUGGUAUGGUUGGGGUUCUAACCUUGGUCCGUUAUCCGGAUUGGGGACAAUGCAUGGUGGGUAGUUUGACUGGGGCGGUCUCCUCCCAAAGAGUAACGGAGGAGCGCAAAGGUACCCUCAGCACGGUCGGACAUCGUGCAAUGAGCGCAAAGGUAAAAGGGUGCUUGACUGCGAGACUGACACGUCGAGCAGGUAGGAAACUAGGUCUUAGUGAUCCGGUGGUUCUGAGUGGAAGGGCCAUCGCUCAACGGAUAAAAGGUACGCCGGGGAUAACAGGUUAAUACCCCCCAAGAGUUCACAUCGACGGGGGUGUUUGACACCUCGAUGUCGGCUCAUCACAUCCUGGGGCUGAAGCAGGUCCCAAGG